rnacentral:rRNA from 1 species
UACGGAGGGGGCAAGCGUUGUUCGGAAUUACUGGGCGUAAAGGGCGCGUAGGCGGUCUUGUAAGUCCUGUGUGAAAUCCCCCGGCUCAACUGGGGAGGGUCACGCGAUACUGAUCGACUCGAAGGCAGGAGAGGGUAGUGGAAUUCCCGGUGUAGUGGUGAAAUGCGUAGAUAUCGGGAGGAACACCAGUGGCGAAGGCAGAUCUCUGGGCCGUAACUGACGCUGGAGGAGCGAAAGCAUGGGGAGCGAACAGG